CACGUAGGGCGCAAGCGUUGUCCGGAAUUAUUGGGCGUAAAGAGCUCGUAGGCGGUCUGUUACGUCUGCUGUGAAAACCCAGGGCUUAACCCUGGGCUUGCAGUGGAUACGGGCAGACUAGAGGCAGGUAGGGGGAGAAUGGAAUUCCCGGUGUAGCGGUGAAAUGCGCAGAUAUCGGGAGGAACACCGGUGGCGAAGGCGGUUCUCUGGGCCUGACCUGACGCUGAGGAGCGAAAGCGUGGGGAGCGAACAGG
rnacentral:rRNA from 1 species